UACGUAGGGUGCAAGCGUUGUCCGGAAUUAUUGGGCGUAAAGAGCUCGUAGGCGGCUUGUCGCGUCGGCUGUGAAAACCUGGGGCUCAACCCCGGGCCCUGCAGCCGAUACGGGCAAGCGUAGAAUUCGGUAGGGGAGACUGGAAUUCCUGGUGUAGCGGUGAAAUGCGCAGAUAUCAGGAGGAACACCGGUGGCGAAGGCGGGUCUCUGGGCCGAAAUUGACGCUGAGGAGCGAAAGCGUGGGGAGCAAACAGG
rnacentral:rRNA from 1 species